UACGGAGGGUGCAAGCGUUAAUCGGAAUUACUGGGCGUAAAGCGCACGCAGGCGGUCUGUCAAGUCGGAUGUGAAAUCCCCGGGCUCAACCUGGGAACUGCAUCCGAAACUGGCAGGCUAGAGUCUUGUAGAGGGGGUAGGAAUUCCAGGUGUAGCGGUGAAAUGCGUAGAGAUCUGGAGGAAUACCGGUGGCGAAGGCGGCCCCUCGGACAAAGACUGACGCUCAGGUGCGAAAGCGUGGGGAGCAAACAGGAUUAGAUACCCCCGUAGU
rnacentral:rRNA from 1 species